AUGAGCGAGUUCCAGCGCAUGGUGGGGCGCAGGCGGUUGAAGGCGUCGGCGGCCCCGAGCUUGGUGAUGACCCAGUCGUCGCUGUCCCACUGGAUGAUGGUCUUGUCGAAGUCGAACAGCACCACCACGGCGGCCAUCUCCGGGAAGAGACGGCGGACGAUGCUUCCUGCCUCCGACGUUUGCGGUACGAGACUCCGGCGUGGCUUCUGUUUGUUUGUUGGUGGCGGCGUCUCGGACUCUCGGUGUGGUUUUAUAGCAGCCGCAGCCGUAGCCGUGUGGCAGCUGGUGACCUGGGAAGGCUUCCACACCGCCACUUGUGGCCUCUCUCUUGUGCUUGCGUUUACAUUCGCUUUGUUCGCCCUUCGCCGUACCAUAACUGUUGUGCAUACUCGAUUGGCUGCCUUUGCCUUCGCCUUUGCAUGGUGCUUUGUCAUCACGAUAGGGAUGGUUCAUCGGAAAGUUUAUUAG
rnacentral:rRNA from 1 species